AAGAGGAGCCGAGAGCCGUAAGGGCAUGGGGCAUUAUCUUCUCUCUGUAAAAGCAGGACACAUGAAAUUUGGCAAGCACCGGAUGGAUCAGUCCCCUUAUACCUUAGCUGCCUUCCCCGGGAGAUGAUCCCAAGCAGUCAGAGGGUGCCCAGCUCCCUACAUCUUGGCAAAGGAAUCAACCCUCAGUGGGGGAACUCAGUCUCUUGGGAGCUGGUGGAUCCAAGACCGACAGAGAUGGCAAAAACAACAUCCAGCUACUCUCUAGUCUCAUCUAUACUGAAGUCUAUUUUCAUUCAUAUAUUCUUUAAAGAAUUCCAGUUCUGCCCAAAGCCUGUGUUGCUGAGAGCACCAGCACUGUCCUCAUGUAGCACACAAGGUUUGGGGUUUGAGUUGGGACAAACAGAGCCCCAGACACGUGCCCAGCAGAGCAUGGGAUCACUGGACUCCUGCCUGUGUUUUGUUGGGGUUUUCCAGAGGAGACAGGUAAGUGUCAAAAAUGUAUCAUUGGAACCAGAACGCUCAUCAUGGCUGUGACAGGGAGGGGAACUUUACAGAUCCUGCCUUAGUCCUCAGCCCCACAGCUGACCCCUUUAGAGAGGGAAGGGGGCAGUUCAGCCUUGCUUUUUCUCCUCUCGUGACUUCUCUAAGCAA